rfam:Echinostoma caproni strain Egypt genome assembly, scaffold: ECPE_scaffold0000008
GCACUGCUGACGAGUCCCAAACAAGACGAAACAGCUGUCUAGUGC